rnacentral:lncRNA from 1 species
GGGACUGUUGUGGGGUGGCAGGGGGGGAGGGAUAGCAGUGGGAGAUAUACGUAAUGCUAGAUGACAAGUUAGUGGGUGCAGCACACCAGCAUGGCACAUGUAUAUGUAUGUAACUAACCUGCACAAUGUGCACAUGUACCCUAAAACUUAAAGUAUAAUAAUAAAUAAAUAAAUAAAUAAAAAAUUACCUAAAAAAAAAGUACCAAUUCAUCAAGAAAACAUAAAACAUGAUCCUAAGUGUGUAUGCACCUAAAUACACGACUUCUAAAUACACUAAACAAAAACCGAGAGAAUUGAAAGAAGGAAAAAAAUCCACAAUUACAGUUGGAAAUUUCAAAACUCCUCUCUCAGGAAUAAAUAGAACAAGAAGGCAACAUCUAAUAAGGAGAUAGUCUUGAGCAACACUAUCAAUCAACUUGCCCAAUGGACAUUUAUAGAAGACUUUACCCAACAACUGCAGUAUACAGGUUUUCUUCAAGUACACAUGAAACAUUUGUCAAGAGAAGCCAUAUGGUCAGAUGGAUAAUGUGCUGAUGUCCUCUUUGACAUCCUUAAGUGGAAAUCAGCCGUGCCUUUUGGCCUCAGCUGAGGCAGCGGGGGUCAAACAGCUACUCCUCUCACUCCUGCAGAAGGGGUGUAAAAUCGCUUCCGGCUCUGCCGUCUGAUGAAUCUGUCCUUCCGAACCUCCAGAGGCUUCUCUGUCUCUGCCCUUUUGGCCUGAGGUUGUUCAGAGGGCAUUAUCCUCUAAACUGAAAGUGUCUGAAUUCACUGAGGGCGAAAAUGUGGUGUGUAGAUGGGGCAGAGAACAUGAAAGGAGGUUCAGGAAAGGCCAGAGAUUACAUUUAGCAUUCCUGAAAGCCCCUUUUGGCCUUUGGCAACAAUUAAUGAUCAACACAUGGAAAAAGCCUUUUCCAUUUCAAGGGAU